GCUGUAUCUCGCCAUUGUUGGUCAAUAUCUAUCUUCGAUUUUGACGAUCGCUUGAGUUUUUCCCCAUACAGUCCAGCAGUUACGUUCAAGUCCAGGAAUAUCAGUCGUGGGAGAGAUACAGACAAGUACCAGGUUCUACAUCCAUGAUGUGACAGACAAUGCCCAGCGACUGAUGUAACCAGUACAGUUGACAGCCGGUAUCGUGUCUCCAAACUCGAGACCUUGUACAAGAUUUUUCAGUUCAGAGAAUAAGUAAUAAACUCGUUUCUGAAGUUCA
rnacentral:lncRNA from 1 species